rnacentral:rRNA from 1 species
UACGGAGGAUGCAAGCGUUAUCCGGAUUCAUUGGGUUUAAAGGGUGUGUAGGCGGGGCUAUAAGUCAGUGGUGAAAUCCUGCAGCUUAACUGUAGAAUUGCCAUUGAUACUGUAGUUCUUGAGUGCAGUUGAGGUGGGCGGAAUGUGUAGUGUAGCGGUGAAAUGCUUAGAUAUUACACAGAACACCGAUUGCGUAGGCAGCUCACUAAACUGUUACUGACGCUGAGGCACGAAAGCGUGGGGAU